AAGUCGUAACAAGGUUUCCGUAGGUGAACCUGCGGAAGGAUCAUUACUGUUAACUUUUUAUAAACACCAGAGUUUUUAAACUCUGUGUUUGCAAACAAAAACACCCUUUAAAAUAGCUUUUGAGUGUCUGAAUUUAACCUAGUUAAUACAAAAACAACUUUCAACAACGGAUCUCUUGGCUCUU
rnacentral:misc_RNA from 1 species